rnacentral:lncRNA from 1 species
GCUUGUGGGUUUAAGGGAUGGAACUUGGAGGUGGUUGAAGAGUAGUGAACAAGAAGAGGGCAAAAACACGGAGUUCGAGAACUUUAGCCGUUUUUCUCACAAUGUUGUUUCUCCUUUUCUCUCUUUAGCUCCUCCGUGCAGUCCCGGGUAGAGAGCCCGGUCCCUGCGCUAGUCGAUUUGUGCAGUAGGAAAGGAGGCUGCAGGGGAUCUGCGCCGGGGCAGGACAGAUGCCUUUCGGGACCCAGUGUUUGCAUCUUGGGAGAUGUGGGUGCUGAUCUGGUUGUUUCUUGGUUUAUGACGCCAAAAAGGGCGGGAGGGGGCUGAUGAAGUGAAGCCUUUCGCUAAUACAUUCCGUUAACAGAAGCCCACGAAGGAUCAUUGAUUUAUUUCACUCUUCCCUGUUUCUGAACCUUAUCUGGCAAAAACUUUUGUGGUGCAUAAAGUUCAGUAUGUUGCUAAAGCUGAGUUAAUGAAAGGAAAAUUUCAGCUGCGACUCUUGUUUUAAAAAUGAAUCUAGGAUGGAUAGUGGUGUUGGUUGCACAACAAUGAAUGGACAUAAUGCUACUGAACUGUGCACUUAAAAAUGGUUAAAAUGGUAAAUUUUCUGUUAUGUAUAUUUUACCACAAUAAGAAUGAAUUAGAAGGGAAAAGCUUUGUGCAUUCAUUUGAAAGUAAUGGUGAGGUCUUGUAACGUAGGCCAUUUAGGGGACAGGUUUUGAAUAUAUCUUUGUACCAGUUUUUUUUUUUUUCGAGUGUGUGUGUGAGACAGAGCAUUGCUCCGUCGCCCAGGCGGGAGUGCAGUAAUGUGAUCUCGGCUCACUGCAACCUCUGCCUCCGGAGUUCAAGCAAUUCUCCUGUCUCAGCCUCCCUAGUAGCUGGGACUACAGGCGCACACCACCACGCCUGACUACUUUUUGUAUUGUUAGUAGAGACGUGGUCUCACCAUAUUGGUCAGGCUGGUUUCGAACUCCUGACCUUAGGUGAUCCACCCGCCUUGGCCUUCCAAAGUGCUGGGAUUACAGGCCUAAGACACCGUGCCUGGCUUGUACCAGUUUUUACAUGAUUGGGUGUCCUCUUAUCCUGUGAACCAAUUUAUUUGCAUUUGUAUGAAUGGCCUGCUUUCCUGAUUUCUAAUUUGUCCCUUCUUUUAUAGCCCUAUACCAUUUUACUAUCCUUGCUAAACAGGCUUUUAUUGCUUGUUUUGUGACUUGAACUUUAGCCUCAAAAUUGGAAAGGCUUUUUCUGUUUUUUUUUUAGUUCCAGCCAUGUCUUAGGAAAAUAUAGUAAACAACCAAUUAUUUGCAUUUCCACGUCCGUGCAUCCCUAAAACACACAGUGUGCCAAGAUUCUUUCCCUGUUCCACGUUCUUUUUAUUCAAAUCACAUUGUUAACUCAUCUGCUGUGUGCCAGGCAGUGUGCUAAUCUUGGAAGAUACCAACAUGAAUGAAAAAGAACUUGGGUGGAGUGUUUGCAUUAUUACCCUAUGAUGUAAUGUGUAUAGUGCAGAGAUAAAUGCACAGAGAGCUAUUGAAGCUCAGAAGAAGCAUUAAUCCAACUUUGGGAAGAGGUCAUGGGUCAGGAAAAACUUCCAGGAGAAAAUGAUUCCAGAGAGUUGAAGUGGGAUGUCUUGUGGUGGCGGUUGGGAGGAGUAAAGGGAAAAGGAUUGCUUGAACAGAAGCUGUACAGUAAGAAACUGGUCUUUGUGCUGAACUAAAACUAAGACUUCUAUGCCACUGUUUAGGGAUGUGAGGCUGGAGAAGUUGACAAGGAUCAUGGUGAGCCUUCAAAAAAAGUCAAAUCAGUUCAACCAUUAUAUAUAUAUAUAUAGCUUAUUAGAUAUUUGCCAAAUACUGUGCUAGUUACUGAGGGAUAUAAUGAAAGUUAAGGGUCAGUCUAAAAUCUCAGAGUUUGCAAUCUAGCAGGGGUAGACAGGCAUGUAAAAACAAAAAAAAAACAAGUUCUGCUACAGAGUUAAAAUUGGGGUAGGUACGGGGUUGUCUGGGAACCCAGAAGAGGAGCACUUAACUAACCUAGAGAUUUAGCAGGACUUCCUGGUAAUUAUCUAUUGAUAGAAGAAUAUAAAAUAAUCUCUUAAAGAAAUAAGAAAAUUCACCUGGGGUGGCUCACUCCUGUAAUCCCGGCAUUUUGGGAAGCCGAGGCAGGCAGAUCACUUGAGGUCAGGAAUUUGAGACCAGCCUGGGUUUAGUAGAGAAACCCCAUCUCUACUAAAAAUAAAAAAAUUGCCGGGCGUGGUGGCAGGCGCCUGUAAUCCCAGCUACUCCAGAGGCUGAGGCAUGGGAAUCACUCGAACCUGGGAGGUGGAGGUUGCAGUGAGCCGAGAUCGUGCCACUGCAUUCCAGCCUGGGUGACAGAGUGAGACUCCAUCGCAAAAAAAACCAAAACGAACAGCAACAACAACAACAAAAACAAUAAGAAAUACGAAAAUUUAUGGCAUCUACUGAGGUACAGACUACUAGAGAGUAUAGCAUACUGAUCUAAUUGUCAGAUUACCUGGUUCUAAUUCUAGAGUCUACAGUAUACUGUGUUAUCUUGAGAGUCUCUUAUCUUCUCUAGGUCUGUUUUCUCUCAAAUAUAAGAAGAUAAUCACAUUAUAUAGACUUUGAAUUCCUUUAGAAAUUUGUCUAGAAAUUUCCUGAUUCUAAAUUUACUUCCCAUAUUUAUCUUCCCAAGUUUGGUGUCACCCAUUAUGCUGCUAAUAAACAGUUUUGUGUCACA